rnacentral:tRNA from 1 species
UCCCUCAUAGCUCAGUUGGUAAAGAAUCUGCCUGCAAUGCAGGAGACCCAGGUUUGAUUCCUGGGUCGGGAC